rnacentral:rRNA from 1 species
GUGUCAGCAGCCGCGGUAAUACAGAGGGUGCGAGCGUUGUCCGGAAUCACUGGGCGUAAAGGGCGCGUAGGCGGUCCGCUAAGUGUGUGGUGAAAGCUCGGGGCUCAACCCCGAGUCGGCCGUGCAAACUGGUGGACUUGAGCAUGUCAGAGGCAGGCGGAAUUCCGGGUGUAGCGGUGGAAUGCGUAGAGAUCCGGAAGAACACCGGUGGCGAAGGCGGCCUGCUGGGACAUGGCUGACGCUGAGGCGCGACAGCGUGGGGAGCAAACAGGAUUAGAUACCCUGGUAGUCCACGCCGUAAACGAUGGGCACUAGGUGCUUGGGGGAGCGACCCCCUGAGUGCCGGCGCUAACGCAUUAAGUGCCCCGCCUGGGGAGUACGGCCGCAAGGCUGAA